rnacentral:rRNA from 1 species
CCCUCAGAUGUUCUGGGCCGCACGCGCGCUACACUGACGAAUGCAACGAGCUUAUAACCUUGGCCGAAAGGUCUGGGUAAUCUCCAAAUUUCGUCGUGAUGGGGAUAGAUUAUUGCAAUUAUUAAUCUUCAACGAGGAAUGCCUAGUAAGCGCAAGUCAUCAGCUUGCGUUGAUUACGUCCCUGCCCUUUGUACACACCGCCCGUCGCUCCUACCGAUUGAAUGGUCCGGUGAAGCGUUCGGACCGUGGCCUUUGGACGGUUCGCCGUCUGUUGGCUGCGGGAAGUUCGUUAAACCUUAUCAUUUAGAGGAAGGAGAAGUCGUAACA